UGGGGAAUUUUGGACAAUGGGGGAAACCCUGAUCCAGCCAUCCCGCGUGUGCGAUGAAGGCCUUCGGGUUGUAAAGCACUUUUGGCAGGAAAGAAACGUCAUGGGUUAAUACCCCGUGAAACUGACGGUACCUGCAGAAUAAGCACCGGCUAACUACGUGCCAGCAGCCGCGGUAAUACGUAGGGUGCAAGCGUUAAGCGGAAUUACUGGGCGUAAAGCGUGCGCAGGCGGUUCGGAAAGAAAGAUGUGAAAUCCCAGAGCUCAACUUUGGAACUGCAUUUUUAACUACCAGAAUAGAGUGUGUCAGAGAGAGGUGGAAUUAAGCGUGUAGCAGUGAAAUGCCUAGAUAUGCGGAGGAACACCGAUGGCGAAGGCAGCCUCCUGGGAUAACACUGACGCUCAUGCACGAAAGCGUGGGGAGCAAACAGG
rnacentral:rRNA from 1 species